UCAGUUCAGAUCGUAGGCUGCAACUCGCCUACGUGAAGUAGGAAUCGCUAGUAAUCGCAGGUCAGCAUACUGCGGUGAAUACGUUCCCGGGCCUUGUACACACCGCCCGUCACACCAUGGAAGUUGGCCAUGCCCGAAGUCGUUACUCCAACCCUUGUGGAGGAGGACGCCGAAGGUGGGGCUAAUGACUGGGGUGAAGUCGUAACAAGGUAGCCGUACCGGAAGGUGCGGCUGGAUCACCUCCUAA
rnacentral:rRNA from 1 species